AUUGAACGCUGGCGGCAGGCCUAACACAUGCAAGUCGAGCGAGCGGCGGACGGGUGAGUAAUGUCUGGGAAACUGCCUGAUGGAGGGGGAUAACUAAUGGAAACGGUAGAUAAUACCGCAUACCAUCAGAUGUGCCCAGAUGGGGUUAGCUAGUAGGUUGGGUAACGGCUCACCUAGGCGACGGGCCCUAGCUGGUCUGGGAGGAUGACCAGGUCCCCUGCACCUGAGCCACGGUCCAGUCCCCUACGGGAGGCAGCAGUGGAGUAUAUUUCACAAUGGGCGCAAGCCUGAUGCGGCCAUGCCGCGUGUGUGAAGCAGGCCUUCGGGUUGUAGUUCUCUUUCGGCGGGAGGGCGUUACCCUCUGAAUAAGCACCGGCUAACUCCGUGCCAGCAGCCGCGGUAAUUC
rnacentral:rRNA from 1 species